rnacentral:rRNA from 1 species
UUUGACCUCAGAUCAGGCAAGACUACCCGCUGAAUUUAAGCAUAUUAAUAAGCGGAGGAAAAGAAACUAACAAGGAUUCCCUCAGUAACGGCGAGUGAAGUGGGAAUGGCUCAAGCUUGAAAUCUCUGUUGCUUGCAACAGCGAAUUGUAGUCUCGAGAAGCGUUUUCCCGGCGGAUCUAUCCUGCCUAAGUUGCUUGGAACAGCACAUCACAGAGGGUGACAAUCCCGUUUGUGGCAGGGCAGACCGUUCAUGAUACGCUUUCUAUGAGUCGGGUUGCUUGGGAAUGCAGCCCAAAAUUGGUGGUAAACUCCAUCUAAAGCUAAAUAUUGCCACGANACCGAUAGCGAACAAGU